UGUGUUGCAUAAAUUAUUGCUAUAUAUUCGUGAUGCGUGGAAUAAAUAAAUAACUUCGCCAUCACUCAAAUGCAUUGCCUUGUGUGGGUUGGUAAGUUCGUGAUUCAUUUACCUCAUAACAAGUAGCUGAUAUUUGCAGUUUGGGCAAGAAAACACCUCGAAGAACAAAAAAUGUCGACAAGGAGUGUUGAUGACCUAAAAUUGAAGGACAUAGUUGAUUUUGCGUAUCUUAGGAAAAGAAUAUGACCAGAACGCGAAUAAAACAGAAUUACUGCAAAUGCUGAAAGAUUUGCAAGAAGAGCAAAAUUCUGGUAGCGGA